UUCCUACGGGGGGCUGCAGUAGGGAAUAUUCCGCAAUGGGCGAAAGCCUGACGGAGCAACGCCGCGUGAGUGAAGAAGGUUUUCGGAUCGUAAAGCUCUGUCAACAGGGACGAAACAAGACGGUCCCUGAGAAGGAAGCCACGGCAAACUACGUGCCAGCAGCCGCGGUAAUCCGUAGGUGGCAAGCGUUGUCCGGAAUAACUGGGCGUAAAGCGCAUGUAGACGGCAUGAUAAUCCAAAGGUGAAAUGUAGGGGCUCAACCCCUGCACUGCGAUUGGAACUGUCAAGCUUGAGUGCAGGAGAGGCAAAUGGAAUUCCCAGGGGAGCAGUGAAAUGCGUAGAGAUUGGGAGGAACACCAGUGGCGAAGGCGAUUUGCUGGACUGCAACUGACGUUGAGAUGCGAAAGCUAGGGGAGCAAACGGGAUUAGAUACCCGGGUAGUCUAG
rnacentral:rRNA from 2 species